rnacentral:tRNA from 1 species
GCCCAGGUGGCGGAAUUGGUAGACGCGCCAGGUUGAGGGCCUGGUGGCCGCUUUAGGCCGUGCAAGUUCGAUUCUUGUCCUGGGCACAA